rnacentral:rRNA from 1 species
AUUAAACGCUGGCGGAAUGCUUUACACAUGCAAGUCGAACGGCAGCACGGACUUCGGUCUGGUGGCGAGUGGCGAACGGGUGAGUAAUGUAUCGGAACGUGCCCAGUCGUGGGGGAUAACGUAGUGAAAAUUACGCUAAUACCGCAUACGAUCUAUGGAUGAAAGCGGGGAUCGCAAGACCUCGCGCGAUUGGAGCGGCCGAUAUCAGAUUAGGUAGUUGGUGGGGUAAAGGCCCACCAAGCCAACGAUCUGUAGCUGGUCUGAGAGGACGACCAGCCACACUUGAACUGAGACACGGUCCAGACUCCUACGGGAGGCAGCAGUGGGGAAUUUUGGACAAUGGGCGAAAGCCUGAUCCAGCCAUUCCGCGUGCAGGAUGAAGGCCCUCGGGUUGUAAACUGCUUUUGUACAGAACGAAAAGGUUUCUACUAAUACUAGGAGCUCAUGACGGUACUGUAAGAAUAAGCACCGGCUAACUACGUGCCAGCCGCCGCAGUAA